AGAGUUUGAUCCUGGCUCAGAUUGAACGCUGGCGGCAUGCCUUACACAUGCAAGUCGAACGGCAGCACGGGGGCAACCCUGGUGGCGAGUGGCGAACGGGUGAGUAAUGCAUCGGAACGUGCCCUGAAGUGGGGGAUAACGUAGCGAAAGUUACGCUAAUACCGCAUAUUCUGUGAGCAGGAAAGCAGGGGAUCGCAAGACCUUGCGCUUUAGGAGCGGCCGAUGUCGGAUUAGCUAGUUGGUGGGGUAAAAGCUCACCAAGGCGACGAUCCGUAGCGGGUCUGAGAGGAUGAUCCGCCACACUGGGACUGAGACACGGCCCAGACUCCUACGGGAGGCWGCANUCGNNAUNUNGCAUGACGAAAGUCNGACCGAGCGANNCGCGUNNGGAUGAAGNCUUCGNNUGUAAACCGNGAAAGUAGANAGGAAGGCUUCGUGAAGAACGANGUUUGACCGAUCUACAGUAAGNACGAGCUAAGUACGUGCCAGCAGCCGCNGUAAUACGUACCGUCCAAACGUUAUUNGGAAUUACUGGGCUUAAAGGUACGUAGGCGGCGCUGUUAGUCGAGUGUGAAAUCCCAGGGCUCAACCCUGGAACUGCGCCCGAUACUGCAGUGCUUGAGGNNACAGAGGUAAGCGGAACUGAUGGUGGAGCGGUGAAAUGCGUUGAUAUCAUCAGGAACACCAGUGGCGAAAGCGGCUUACUGGGUCUCUUCUGACGCUGAGGUACGAAAGCUAGGGGAGCGAAGGGGAUUAGAUACCCCCGUAGUCCUAGCCGUAAACUCUGUGCACUUGAUCGAGGGCCCCCCCAUAGGCUCUCGGUCGUAGCGAAAGUGUUAAGUGCACCGCCUGGGGAGUAUGGUCGCAAGGCUGAAACUCAAAGAAAUUGACGGGGGCUCACACAAGCGGUGGAGGAUGUGGCUUAAUUCGAGGCUACGCGAAAAACCUUAUCCUAGUCUUGACAUGCACGGAUCAACCCGGUGAAAGCCGGGCCACGCCUUCGGGUGGAACGUGCACAGGUGCUGCAUGGCUGUCGUCAGCUCGUGUCGUGAGAUGUCGGGUUAAGUCCCUUAACGAGCGAAACCCUUGUUGCUAGUUGCCAGCGAGUAAUGUCGGGGACUCUAGCAAGACCGCCGGUGUUAAACCGGAGGAAGGUGGGGAUGACGUCAAGUCCUCAUGGCCUUUAUGACUAGGGCUGCACACGUCCUACAAUGCUGCGUACAAAGGGAAGCAAACUCGCGAGAGCAAGCAAAUCCCAAAAAACGCAGCUCAGUUCGGAUUGCAGGCUGCAACUCGCCUGCAUGAAGCUGGAAUCGCUAGUAAUCGUAGGUCAUCAUACUACGGUGAAUGUGUUCCUGAGCCUUGCACACACCGCCCGU
rnacentral:rRNA from 1 species